AGAGUUUGAUCCUGGCUCAGAACGAACGCUGGCGGCAUGCCUAACACAUGCAAGUCGAACGAAGCCUUCGGGCUUAGUGGCGCACGGGUGCGUAACGCGUGGGAACCUACCAUCAGGUUCGGAAUAACAGUUAGAAAUGAUUGCUAAUACCGGAUAAUGUCCUCGGACCAAAGAUUUAUCGCCUUUUGAUGGGCCCGCGUAAGAUUAGCUAGUUGGUAAGGUAAAAGCUUACCAAGGCGACGAUCUUUAGCUGGUCUGAGAGGAUGAUCAGCCACACUGGGACUGAGACACGGCCCAGACUCCUACGGGAGGCAGCAGUGGGGAAUAUUGGACAAUGGGCGGAAGCCUGAUCCAGCAAUGCCGCGUGAGUGAUGAAGGCCUUAGGGUUGUAAAGCUCUUUUACUGGGGAUGAUAAUGACAGUACCCAGAGAAUAAGCUCCGGCUAACUCCGUGCCAGCAGCCGCGGUAAUAAGGGCGAAUUC
rnacentral:rRNA from 1 species